rnacentral:rRNA from 1 species
AAUUUGGAGUUUUUAGAUCUUGAUGCUAAUUUUGGUAAAAGUAAGAUUGGAGAAGUCACAACUUUAAAUAGCAUUGAGCCCACUAUCUCGGAUUUCAAGGAAUUUGAUUAUGAUAAUUGUUCUUUAGAAGGUUGCAUUUUCUUGUUGCAAUCUGUUGUUAAUUCUCCACAUGCUUAUAGUCAAAAUAAAGCUUUUACCAAACAUAUUGUUGAUGCCUUGUUGCAAUCUUUUGAUGAAAAACUUAAUUUGGAAGUUUCUAUACCUAGAAAACUUAAUGAUGAGUGGGAAACUACUAUAAAGAUUAAAAUUAAAGAUUAUGAGUGUUUUGCUUUGUGUGAUUUGGGUGCUAGUGUUUCCACGAUUCCAAAAACUUAA